UACGGGGGGGGCAAGCGUUGUUCGGAAUUACUGGGCGUAAAGGGCGCGUAGGCGGGAUGGCAAGUCAGUCGUGAAAUCUCUCGGCUCAACCGAGAAACGUCGGCUGAUACUGCCGUUCUUGAGGGAUGCAGAGGAGACUGGAAUUCCCGGUGUAGCGGUGAAAUGUGUAGAGAUCGGGAGGAACACCGGUGGCGAAGGCGGGUCUCUGGGCAUCUCCUGACGCUGAGGCGCGAAAGCGUGGGGAGCAAACGGG
rnacentral:rRNA from 1 species